rnacentral:rRNA from 1 species
AGCAGUAGCCGCGGUAAUACGUAGGGGGCAAGCGUUGUCCGGAAUUAUUGGGCGUGAAGCGCGCGCAGGCGGUUCUUUAAGUCUGGUGUAUAAGUGCGGGGCUCAACCCCGUGAGGCACUGGAAACUGGGGAACUUGAGUGCAGAAGAGGAGAGCGGAAUUCCACGUGUAGCGGUGAAAUGCGUAGAGAUGUGGAGGAACACCAGUGGCGAAGGCGGCUCUCUGGACUGUAACUGACGCUGAGGCGCGAAAGCGUGGGGAGCAAACAGGAUUAGAUACCCCAGUAGUCCCUGUCUCUUAUACA